rnacentral:rRNA from 1 species
UGGGGAAUAUUGCACAAUGGGCGCAAGCCUGAUGCAGCCAUGCCGCGUGUAUGAAGAAGGCCUUCGGGUUGUAAAGUACUUUCAGCGGGGAGGAAGGCGAUAAGGUUAAUAACCUUGUCGAUUGACGUUACCCGCAGAAGAAGCACCGGCUAACUCCGUGCCAGCAGCCGCUGUAAUACGGAGGGUGCAAGCGUUAAUCGGAAUUACUGGGCGUAAAGCGCACGCAGGCGGUCUGUCAAGUCGGAUGUGAAAUCCCCGGGCUCAACCUGGGAACUGCAUUCGAAACUGGCAGGCUAGAGUCUUGUAGAGGGGGGUAGAAUUCCAGGUGUAGCGGUGAAAUGCGUAGAGAUCUGGAGGAAUACCGGUGGCGAAGGCGGCCCCCUGGACAAAGACUGACGCUCAGGUGCGAAAGCGUGGGGAGCAAACA